GUUCAUGAGCUCUUGGUACUCGCGCAGCAGCCGGGCCAUGUCCUGCUUGGACUUUUGCAGGGCCUCCUCCAGGUCCACCAGUUUGGCCCGUGCAUCCUUGAGGGCCAGCUCCCCGCGCUGCUCGGCGUCGGCGAUGGCGGAUUGCAGGCUGGCGCACUGCUUCUUGACGUGGUCAAUCUCAGAUCUCAGCCUCUGGAUCACGCGGUUGAUCUCAGAG
rnacentral:misc_RNA from 1 species